GACGAACGCUGGCGGCGUGCUUAACACAUGCAAGUCGAACGAUGAAGAAGAGAAACGCGAACUUCGGUUCAAAUUUCACUUCGGAUUAGUGGCAGACGGGUGAGUAACGCGUGAGCAACCUACCUCUUACAAAGGGAUAGCUUCGGGAAACCGUGAUUAAUACCAUAUGACACAUUCAUAAGGCAUCUUAAGAAUGUUAAGGCUACGGCGGUAAGAGAUGGGCUCGCGUCCCAUUAGCUAGUUGGUGAGGUAACGGCCCACCAAGGCGACGAUGGGUAACCGGCCUGAGAGGGUGAACGGUCACAUUGGAACUGAGACACGGUCCAAACUCCUACGGGAGGCAGCAGUGGGGAAUAUUGCACAAUGGAGGGAGCUCUGAUGCAGCGACGCCGCGUGAGCGAUGAAGGAAUUCGUUUCGUAAAGCUCUGUUCUAUGGGAAGAAAAGGACUGUACCAUAGGAGAAAGCCCCGGCUAAAUACGUG
rnacentral:rRNA from 1 species